UGAGGAAUAUUGCACAAUGGGCGAAAGCCUGAUGCAGCAACGCCGCGUGAGGGACGAAGGCCUUCGGGUCGUAAACCUCUUUUCUGGGGGACGAGUAAGGACGGUACUCCAGGAAUAAGUCUCGGCUAACUACGUGCCAGCAGCCGCGGUAAAACGUAGGAGGCGAGCGUUAUCCGGAUUUACUGGGCGUAAAGCGUACGCAGGUGGCUUCGUUAGUCGGACAUGAACGCUCCUGGCUUAACUGGGAGAGGUUGUUCGAUACUGCGGGGCUUGAGGUUGGGAGAGGGACGAGGAAUUCCCGGUGUAGUGGUGGAAUGCGUAGAUAUCGGGAGGAACACCAGUGGCGCAAGUGGCGUCCUGGCCCACACCUGACGCUGAGGGACGAAAGCGUGGGUAGCAAAC
rnacentral:rRNA from 1 species